GGCAGUGGUGUGUGAUGAAUUUGGUUAUGGCGUCUACUCCCAAUCGGGAAAGAGGCGAGUCACGAAGAGCUGGAUUGUUUGUCAAUCAAAUUGUUUAAACCAGGCUCUGGAAGUUGGUAGUAUUACGGUUCAAUAUCACUGAGAAUGAUUCUCCAUUGGAGCUGGUUCAAUGUACAGCAAGUGGCAUCUCAUUUGAAUGUAGAAGUCCUGAAGCCACCUCCACAUUUCUAAUGGAAACAGUAAAAUAUACUGCCAGCCAAUUUAAGCUGUAUGCUAAUUUUGGAUAUGUUCAUCUCUCGUGGACGAAUAAAUGUUUAAACAAAGAAACAUUCUCCUCUGGCCUAAGAAGAAAUAAACAGUUAAAUUCGCCCUUCAUUCUUCUUGACAGAGCAGUGAGACAAAAUCACGAAUCUUCUACCAGAGUAUAGUACACAAAGGGAGCUCUGAUCAGCAGUCUGAAGAAAGAAGACUUGUGCUAAAGUCACACGAGGACUGGGAGGGGGCAUGGGUCUAACUCGGACCUGCACACUGUGAUCCAGUGGGCCCACUCCACACUCACCAGGCCCAAUUCCACCUCCAGCCCCAGGAACUUCAGAAGCCACUUCUCGAGGGAACCAGUGAGGUCCUCACCUUCCUUGCACUCCAGAAGACCCACGAGCUAAAAUAUUGAAGAUGUCGCAGGGACUGUGAAAAAAGGCAACCCUAAUCUCUGAGGAGUAGUAGUACUGUGAAGAAUCACUUGCUACAUGAAUCAUACAAGCCCUUCACUGACACCAAAUCCUUCACCAUCAACACCUUUGGC